GAUUAGCCGGUUGUUCCCUGAAGUCGUCUUAGAUGUUUCAGACUGUUUCUACAAAUUGUCAAGCUCGUUCUGAAUCCUCAUCCUCCCAAGUGGUUGGACCUCUUUUCAGUGACUCGCCACAUCCUUUCUGAACAAAAGGCUAGACAUAACCAACAGACAGCUCUGGAGAAGCUCUGAUAUUUCUUUGGGAUGAAGACGGACCAAAAUUGUGAAGCUAACCAAAGCCAACCAACCCCUGUGAUGCCUGGACAGAUCACAUUCAGAGCCCACCGGGGGUUUUUUUUGCACCAAAAGCUGAACUUCUGCUGUAAAGUUUUAAUUUUCUCAUACUAAUAGUCCUCUCAAAAGAGUACAAGAGAAGUUCAAAAGCAUG